rnacentral:rRNA from 1 species
AGUGAACGCUGGCGGUAGGCCUAACACAUGCAAGUCGAACGGCAGCACAGUAAGAGCUUGCUCUUACGGGUGGCGAGUGGCGGACGGGUGAGGAAUACAUCGGAAUCUACUUUUUCGUGGGGGAUAACGUAGGGAAACUUACGCUAAUACCGCAUACGACCUACGGGUGAAAGCAGGGGAUCUUCGGACCUUGCGCGAUUGAAUGAGCCGAUGUCGGAUUAGCUAGUUGGCGGGGUAAAGGCCCACCAAGGCGACGAUCCGUAGCUGGUCUGAGAGGAUGAUCAGCCACACUGGAACUGAGCCACGGUCCAGACUCCUACGGGAGGCAGCAGUGGGGAAUAUUGGACAAUGGGCGCAAGCCUGAUCCAGCCAGACCGCGUGGGUGAAGAAGGCCUUCGGGUUGUAAAGCCCUUUUGUUGGGAAAGAAAAGCAGCAGGUUAAUACCCCGCUGUUCUGACGGUACCCAAAGAAUAAGCACCGGCUAACUUCGUG